rnacentral:rRNA from 1 species
GACGAACGCUGGCGGCGUGCUUAACACAUGCAAGUCGAACGGAAAGGCCCUGCUUUUGGGGGGUGCGCGAGGGGCGAACGGGUGAGUAACACGUGAGUGACCUGCCCUUGACUUUGGGAUAACUUCAGGAAACUGGGGCUAAUACCGGAUAGGAGCUCCUGCGGCAGGGUGGGGGUGGGAAAGUUUCGGCGGUUGGGGAUGGACUCGCGGCUUAUCAGCUUGUUGGUGGGGUAGUGGCUUACCAAGGCUUUGACGGGUAGCCGGCCUGAGAGGGUGACCGGCCACAUUGGGACUGAGAUACGGCCCAGACUCCUACGGGAGGCAGCAGUGGGGAAUAUUGCACAAUGGGCGGAAGCCUGAUGCAGCAACGCCGCGUGCGGGAUGACGGCCUUCGGGUUGUAAACCGCUUUCGCCUGUGACGAAGCGUGAGUGACGGUAAUGGGUAAAGAAGCACCGGCUAACUACGUG